GCGAGGGUGGCGGAACUGGCAGACGCGCAAGAUUUAGGAUCUUGUGCCUUAUACGGCAUGGGGGUUCGAUUCCCCCCCCUCGCACCA
rnacentral:tRNA from 1 species